GACGAACGCUGGCGGCGUGCUUAACACAUGCAAGUCGAACGGAAAGGCCCUGCUUUUGUUGGUUGCUCUAGUGGCGAACGGGUGAGUAACACGUGAGUAACCUGCCCUUGACUUUGGUAUAACUUCACGAAACUGGAGCUAAUACCAGAUAGGAGCUCCUGCUGCAUGGUGGGGGUUGGAAAGUGUCGGCUGUUGGGGAUGUACUCGCUGCUUAUCAGCUUGUUGUUGGGGUAGUGGCUUACCAAGGCUUUGACGGGUAGCCGGCCUGAGAGGGUGACCGGCACCACUGGGACUGAGAUACGGCCCAGACUCCUACGGGAGGCAGCAGUGGGGAAUAUUGUACAAUGGGCGGAAGCCUGAUGCAGCAACGCCGCGUGCGGGAUGACGGCCUUCGGGUUGUAAACCGCUUUCGCCUGUGACGAAGCGUGAGUGACGGUAAUGGGUAAAGAAGCACCGGCUAACUACGUG
rnacentral:rRNA from 1 species